ACGGAAACCUACAGUCACUCAACUCAGUUCCGGACGACUCACGGGCCUCAACUUCCGGCUCUGCGGGCAAGGGGCGGGGAAACACGGGCUGUGAGCAUGCGCGUAAUUCUCUCCCUGCCUUCCCAGGACCGCCAAUGGGCCCACCUUUCUGUGAAUACUGUGGCAUUCAAAGCUAUUUGGGAGAACCUCAAAAACAAAAAACACUGCAAUGGCAGCUAGAAUGUAGUCAGCAUUUGAAAACUGAAGAUGAGAGCACCGAGGGCCACAUUCCACCAUCUAGUGAACUCCAGAUGACAUCAUAGCGUCUUGGGAUGGUCCGCCUCCAGACAUCCAUAUAAGACGGAAAUAGAUUUCUCUCUUGUUUAGUUCACUGAUGUUUGGGGCUUUAAUUAUAUGCAGUUCUAUCUAAACAUAAAUGAUGCACACAGUCUUCAAAA